rnacentral:rRNA from 1 species
UUGUUGGAUAUUAGCCAACAACCUCUCUCCUCCUCGCUGAAAGUGCUUUACAACCCGAAGGCCUUCUUCACACACGCGGCAUGGCUGCAUCAGGGUUUCCCCCAUUGUGCAAUAUUCCCCACUGCUGCCUCCCGUAGGAGUCUGGACCGUGUCUCAGUUCCAGUGUGGCUGAUCAUCCUCUCAGACCAGCUAGGGAUCGUCGCCUUGGUGAGCCAUUACCUCACCAACUAGCUAAUCCCACCUGGGCAUAUCCAAUCGCGCAAGGCCCGAAGGUCCCCUGCUUUCCCCCGUAGG